rnacentral:rRNA from 1 species
GCACAGUGGGGAAUUUUGGACAAUGGGCGCAAGCCUGAUCCAGCCAUGCCGCGUGCAGGAUGAAGGCCUUCGGGUUGUAAACUGCUUUUGUACGGAACGAAACGGCUCUUUCUAAUAAAGAGGGCUAAUGACGGUACCGUAAGAAUAAGCACCGGCUAACUACGUGCCAGCAGCCGCGGUAAUACGUAGGGUGCGAGCGUUAAUCGGAAUUACUGGGCGUAAAGCGUGCGCAGGCGGUGAUGUAAGACAGAUGUGAAAUCCCCGGGCUCAACCUGGGAACUGCAUUUGUGACUGCAUCGCUGGAGUGCGGCAGAGGGGGAUGGAAUUCCGCGUGUAGCAGUGAAAUGCGUAGAUAUGCGGAGGAACACCGAUGGCGAAGGCAAUCCCCUGGGCCUGCACUGACGCUCAUGCACGAAAGCGUGGGGAGCAAACAGGAUUAGAUACCCUGGUAGUCCACGCCCUAAACGAUGUCAACUGGUUGUUGGGUCUUCACUGACUCAGUAACGAAGCUAACGCGUGAAGUGACCGCCUGGAGACCCCCACCCG